GACGAACGCUGGCGGCGUGCCUAAUACAUGCAAGUAGAACGCUGAAGGAGGAGCUUGCUUCUCCGGAUGAGUUGCGAACGGGUGAGUAACGCGUAGGUAACCUGCCUGGUAGCGGGGGAUAACUAUUGGAAACGAUAGCUAAUACCGCAUAGCAGUAGAUGUUGCAUGACAUUUGCUUAAAAGGUGCAAUUGCAUCACUACCAGAUGGACCUGCGUUGUAUUAGCUAGUUGGUGAGGUAACGGCUCACCAAGGCGACGAUACAUAGCCGACCUGAGAGGGUGAUCGGCCACACUGGGACUGAGACACGGCCCAGACUCCUACGGGAGGCAGCAGUAGGGAAUCUUCGGCAAUGGACGGAAGUCUGACCGAGCAACGCCGCGUGAGUGAAGAAGGUUUUCGGAUCGUAAAGCUCUGUUGUAAGAGAAGAACGAGUGUGAGAGUGGAAAGUUCACACUGUGACGGUAUCUUACCAGAAAGGGACGGCUAACUACGUG
rnacentral:rRNA from 1 species